GUGGGGAAUCUUGCGCAAUGGGCGAAAGCCUGACGCAGCCAUGCCGCGUGAAUGAUGAAGGUCUUAGGAUUGUAAAAUUCUUUCACCGGGGACGAUAAUGACGGUACCCGGAGAAGAAGCCCCGGCUAACUUCGUGCCAGCAGCCGCGGUAAUACGAAGGGGGCUAGCGUUGCUCGGAAUUACUGGGCGUAAAGGGCGCGUAGGCGGAUCUGUAAGUCAGGGGUGAAAUCCCAGAGAUCAACUCUGGAACUGCCCUUGAUACUGGCGAUCUUGAGUGUGAGAGAGGUAUGUGGAACUCCGAGUGUAGAGGUGAAAUUCGUAGAUAUUCGGAAGAACACCAGUGGCGAAGGCGACAUACUGGCUCAUUACUGACGCUGAGGCGCGAAAGCGUGGGGAGCAAACAGGAUUAGAAACCCCAGUAGUCC
rnacentral:rRNA from 1 species